AACGAACGCUGGCGGCAUGCCUAACACAUGCAAGUCGAACGAUGCCUUCGGGCAUAGUGGCGCACGGGUGCGUAACACGUGGGAAUCCGCCCUUCGGUUCGGAAUAACUCAGGGAAACUUGAGCUAAUACCGGAUAAUGACGUAAGUCCAAAGAUUUAUCGCCGAAGGAUGAGCCCGCGUAGGAUUAGGUAGUUGGUGGGGUAAUGGCCUUCCAAGCCGACGAUCCUUAGCUGGUCUGAGAGGAUGAUCAGCCACACUGGGACUGAGACACGGCCCAGACUCCUACGGGAGGCAGCAGUGGGGAAUAUUGGACAAUGGGCGAAAGCCUGAUCCAGCAAUGCCGCGUGAGUGAUGAAGGCCUUAGGGUUGUAAAGCUCUUUUACCCGGGAUGAUAAUGACAGUACCGGGAGAAUAAGCUCCGGCUAACUCCGUGCCAGCCGCCGCCGUAAUAC
rnacentral:rRNA from 1 species